rfam:Capsicum annuum cultivar Zunla-1 unplaced genomic scaffold scaffold846, whole genome shotgun sequence
AACUGUUGGUGGUAUGGACAAUCUCAAAGAAAAGCCUUGAAGCGUUCCCAUGCAUGAUAAAGAUUUUCAUCAGGCUUCUGUUUGAAGCUUACUAUCUCACUGCGAAGUU